rnacentral:rRNA from 1 species
GAUGAACGCUGGCGGCGUGCCUAAUACAUGCAAGUCGAGCGAACAGACGAGGAGCUUGCUCCUCUGACGUUAGCGGCGGACGGGUGAGUAACACGUGGAUAACCUACCUAUAAGACUGGGAUAACUUCGGGAAACCGGAGCUAAUACCGGAUAAUAUAUUGAACCGCAUGGUUCAAUAGUUGAAUACGGUUUUGCUGUCACUUAUAGAUGGAUCCGCGCCGCAUUAGCUAGUUGGUAAGGUAACGGCUUACCAAGGCAACGAUGGGUAGACGACCUGAGAGGGUGAUCGGCCAGACUGGAACUGAGACACGGUCCAGACUCCUACGGGAGGAAGCAGUAGGGAAUCUUCCGCGAUGGGCGAAAGCCUGACGGAGCAACGCCGCGUGAGUGAUGAAGGUCUUAGGAUCGUAAAACUCUGUUAUUAGGGAAGAACAAAUGUGUAAGUAACUAUGCACGUAUUGACGGUACCUAAUCAGAAAGCCACGGCUAACUACGUG